rnacentral:lncRNA from 1 species
ACCUUUUUGCAUAAUGCAGAUAGGGAUCUGAUUGCUGAAGUCUUCCAUGAAGUUCUUGAUGCUUGGAAAGGAUUUUGAAGAUAUCGCAACUUCAGACAAGUAUAGGAAGACAUGGUGUUACUUAACAUACUCAAGAAAUAGGUUGUUGUUUCAAUUUGUUGUGCAGGAUUUGUUUUCAUGAACCUAAUUCUUUCACUCAGAUGGAUUACUUCUACGAUUUUAUGUACAUUCUCAUGUUGUGGUCUUCAAACGUAAACCACAAGUCAUUAUUGUUUACAGAAAAUGUAAAUCAUAUGAAAGGAAAAAAACAUAUGUUCAUAAACGCAAAUGGAUCUGAAUUGUGACGAUACUUGAUUGCUGCAUUCUGUUUUCUUGGUUUAAAGAAUUUUACAUUUUAUAAUUUACAUAUCAUAUUGUAUUUUUAACUUGCUAGGGCCAAAUAGUCAGUGUAUUUAAUAUUCAGGUAGAGAAAUCUUGAGAUUUCUGUGAAAAGAAUAAGAAAAAAAAGUUGAAAUAUGAUUACCAAGUCACAUCAGUAUGAUACUUCAGAUUUUUAUCAGACAGAAGUGGUUGAUAUGCUAUGGACUGAGCUCAUAUUAUUCAGUUCCAAAGCAGCAUAGCACUCCUUCCACUUGUCUUAUCAUAGUUGUCAGAUAAGACCAAACAUCCAUACUAGCUUCUCAAUGAACAUGAAAAAACAUGGCUGAGACGUAAAACCAAACAUUUAACAAAAGGGUAAU